rnacentral:rRNA from 1 species
CGGGGUGAGUAAUGUCUGGGAAACUGCUGAUGGAGGGGGAUAACUGCUGGAAACGGUAGCUAAUACCGCAUAACGUCGCAAGACCAAAGAGGGGGACCUUCGGGCCUCUUGCCAUCGGAUGUGCCCAGAUGGGAUUAGCUAGUAGGUGGGGUAACGGCUCACCUAGGCGACGAUCCCUAGCUGGUCUGAGAGGAUGACCAGCCACACUGGAACUGAGACACGGUCCAG